CUAAAACGUCCGUAGCCUGUUUGGUAAAUCUAUGGGUAAAUCAACGAGCUUAACUCGUUGAAUUCUGCAGAGACUGCCAGACUAGGGACCGGGAGAGGUAUGAGGUACUCUGGGGGUAGGGGUAAAAUCCUGUCAUCCUCAGAGGACCACCUGUUGCGAAGGCGUCAUACUGGAACGGAUCCGACGGUCAGGGACGAAGCCUAGGGGCACGAACCGGAUUAGAUACCCGGGUAGUCCUAGGUGUAAACGCUGUGGAUUUGGUGUGUGGGGUCCGCAAUGGGCCCCAUGUGCCGGAGUGAAGAUGUUAAAUCCACUGCCUGGGGAGUACGGUCGCAAGGCUGAAACUUAAAGGAAUUGGCGGGGGAGCACCGCAACCUGAGGAGCGUGCGGUUUAAUUGGAUUCAACGCCGGAAAACUCACCAAGGCCGACGGACAUAUGAAGAUCAACGUAACGAGUUUAUUGGAUUGUUCGAGAGGUGGUGCAUGGCCGUCGUCAGUUCGUACUGUAAAGCGUUC
rnacentral:rRNA from 1 species